UACAGAGGUCUCAAGCGUUGUUCGGAUUCAUUGGGCGUAAAGGGUGCGUAGGCGGCUUUGUAAGUUAGAGGUGAAAGCCCGGGGCUCAACUCCGGAAUUGCCUUUAAGACUGCAUCGCUAGAAUUGUGGAGAGGUAAGUGGAAUUCCGAGUGUAGAGGUGAAAUUCGUAGAUAUUCGGAAGAACACCAGUGGCGAAGGCGACUUACUGGACACAUAUUGACGCUGAGGUGCGAAAGCGUGGGGAGCAAACAGGG
rnacentral:rRNA from 1 species